GAUGAACGCUGGCGGCGUGCCUAAUACAUGCAAGUCGAGCGAACGGACGAGAAGCUUGCUUCUCUGAUGUUAGCGGCGGACGGGUGAGUAACACGUGGAUAACCUACCUAUAAGACUGGGAUAACUUCGGGAAACCGGAGCUAAUACCGGAUAAUAUUUUGAACCGCAUGGUUCAAAAGUGAAAGACGGUCUUGCUGUCACUUAUAGAUGGAUCCGCGCUGCAUUAGCUAGUUGGUAAGGUAACGGCUUACCAAGGCAACGAUGCAUAGCCGACCUGAGAGGGUGAUCGGCCACACUGGACCUGAGACACGGUCCAGACUCCUACGGGAGGCAGCAGUAGGGAAUCUUCCGCAAUGGGCGAAAGCCUGACGGAGCAACGCCGCGUGAGUGAUGAAGGUCUUCGGAUCGUAAAACUCUGUUAUUAGGGAAGAACAUAUGUGUAAGUAACUGUGCACAUCUUGACGGGACCUAAUCAGAAAGCCACGGCGAACUACGU
rnacentral:rRNA from 1 species